rnacentral:rRNA from 1 species
AUUGAACGCUGGCGGCAGGCUUAACACAUGCAAGUCGAGCGGGGUGAUGGUGCUUGCACUAUCACUUAGCGGCGGACGGGUGAGUAAUGCUUAGGAAUCUGCCUAUUAGUGGGGGACAACAUUUCGAAAGGAAUGCUAAUACCGCAUACGCCCUACGGGGGAAAGCAGGGGAUCUUCGGACCUUGCGCUAAUAGAUGAGCCUAAGUCGGAUUAGCUAGUUGGUGGGGUAAAGGCCUACCAAGGCGACGAUCUGUAGCGGGUCUGAGAGGAUGAUCCGCCACACUGGGACUGAGAAACGGACCAGACUCCUACGGGAGGCAGCAGUGGGGAAUAUUGGACAAUGGGCGGAAGCCUGAUCCAGCCAUGCCGCGUGUGUGAAGAAGGCCUUUUGGUUGUAAAGCACUUUAAGCGAGGAGGAGGCUACCUGGAUUAAUACUCUAGGAUAGUGGACGUUACUCGCAGAAUAAGCACCGGCUAACUCUGUGCCAGCCGCCGCUGUAACAC